GCCAGACUCCUACGGGAGGCAGCAGUGGGGAAUAUUGGACAAUGGGGGGAACCCUGAUCCAGCGACGCCGCGUGAGUGAAGAAGUGUUUCGGUAUGUAAAGCUCUCUCAGCAGGGAAGAAAGAAAUGACGGUACCUGACUAAGAAGCCCCGGCUAACUACGUGCCAGCAGCCGCGGUAAUACGUAGGGGGCGAGCGUUAUCCGGAUUCACUGGGUGUAAAGGGAGCGUAGACGGCCAAGCAAGCCAGGGGUGAAAGCCCGGGGCCCAACCCCGGGACUGCCCUUGGAACUGCAUGGCUGGAGUGCGGGAGGGGCAGGCGGAAUUCCUGGUGUAGCGGUGAAAUGCGUAGAUAUCAGGAGGAACACCGGCGGCGAAGGCGGCCUGCUGGACCGCGACUGACGCUGAGGCUCGAAAGCGUGGGGAGCGAACAGGAUUAGAUACCCCAGUA
rnacentral:rRNA from 1 species